AACGAACACUGGCGGCGUGGAUUAGGCAUGCAAGUCGAACGGGAAAGCUCCCUUCGGGGAGUGAGUAUAGUGGCGAACGGGUGAGUAACGCGUGGGAAACCUGCCCUUCAGCGGGGGAUAACAGGCCUAACGGCCUGCUAAUACCGCAUACGUCCCCUGAAUCGCAUGGUUCAGGGAAGAAAGAUGGCCUCUCCUUGGAAGCUGUUACUGAAGGAUGGUCCCGCGUCCCAUUAGCUUGUUGGUAGGGUAAUGGCCUACCAAGGCGACGAUGGGUAGCCGGCCUGAGAGGGUGUCCGGCCACACUGGGACUGAGAUACGGCCCAG
rnacentral:rRNA from 1 species